UGAAGAGGAGCGGUUUGGCCAAAAUGGCUGCUGUUUGUAACACGAUGCAAAGAGAGCUAGCUGAAGCUGUUUAAGGAGAAGCGUAAUGUCCUGACGUGUCAGGAUCCUGAACGCAGCUCUGCCUCGGCUUCAUUCAGACGGAGAAAGAAGCUCUGCAUGUUCAAAGGCUUCACCGAGUCUUUAUGAAUAUGUGUGAACGGAUCGAUGUGGCCUUUUCCUGAGGAGACGAUUUGGUUUCGUCUGGAACAACAAACUGGUUUCAACCGACAAACCAAACCAAGUGUCCAUGUUGGAUCUGAGCUCAUGAACGGAGAUUUAAACAGAUUUAUCCGAUAAGGAGAGCAGCCGGUUCUGACCCGCUUCCUGACCCGAGAAAUCAGUCCAACCGGACAGAUGGUUGACCUUUAACCUCUCUUCUAUGACUGAAUUUUGACCCAGUUUUUACAAGCUAAACAUGCACUAACUUUUAAACUAUUAUUGCUUUUUAUGUUACUUUGAAACCGAUCUCAUGACUUUUCUUUAUUUAUGUUAUAAAACUUGAAAAUAGGAAAAUUUACUGCAAAUGUUCUGAGCUGCUGCUCAAAUAUCCAAACUGCAUUAACUCAAUCAAAGUACGCAUGGAAGAAGAGCAUAAAAACAGGUUUUCAGAUAAAACCAUGAUCAAUAAAUCAAUAUAAAAUAUUUUGCGUAAGAGA